UUGUGAUUUUCUGCAAAAAAAAAAAUUCAUUUUUUAAUUGAGCUCCGUUUUAACUUUUUUUUGUAUUUGUGCCUGUGUGUGUUUAUGUGUAUAUCUGUGUGUGUAUAUUUAUCUUCCUGUUGUGCUGGUCUUUCAGUGUUAUAGCUUCUCUGCAGAAUUCAAACUGUAUGCAUUUUCCCCUUUUAGUUCAUUGCUCUAUUAUUUGUUUUUGUGCUGGCCUGUGAAUCAAAUGCUCAGUUAUCUAUCCCUCUAAAAUACAUUAUGCAUUUGGUUUUUGUUCUUCACUCCUCUUUCCUCUUCUCUCGACAAUGGCACUUGAUCACUUUGGUUGGGAGAGUAGGUGGGUUUGCAGAGGAGUGACAGGGAGUGGGUCUAGGGUUUCAGGGAGGGGUUUGAGGUAGAGAGAGAAUGAUUUGGGGUAGAGAGGUUAGGGUGGUGCAUGAUUCACCCUUGAUUUGGGGAAUCGUUGCAUGGACAGAGAGAUGGGGAGAAAUGUCGGGGUAAGGUUGAAGGGAACCCGCGUGCAGAGAAAUGGGGUGAGAGGUAUGGGCUGGUGGGUGGGUAAUUUUGCUUCCCUUCGAUUCAAAAGGGUUUUAUCUGGCUGAGCAAAUGCCUUUGCCAUCACUCUGUAGAGUAGAAAUCUCAAACUUCUUAUAUGAAUGAUGUUUGCGUGAUUUAGAGAAGGGGUUGACCUUUGAAUUCGAGCUGUUGCUGGAUCGGCAGUUUCAGGAGACCUUGGUUUUUCGUUUUUUGGGGCUUUUGUUUGCAGCCUCCGAAGCCGUCUGUGCUCACGCCCUAUGAUAGCAGUGGUGAGCUUCCCUUUCAAAAAUUCCUUCUUUCAUUUGUUUCUCUUUCUGCAGUUUUUCACCAAACAAACAGAUUAUAAGCAAUUUUUUUUUCCAAUUUUUUCUUGCUUUUAAUGAUCAUGAGGUAUGUAGAUAGGUAGAAAAGUAUUGCUCUUUCGUAACAUAUACAAUUACUAAGUUGUGUUACAUAUUCCCUUCUAUCUUUUUCAUCAGUUCGCUUCCAAGUCAUGUUUUAACGUGUAUUGAAUAGUUUCCAAAUUAAUGACUGGUUCUUGCAGCCACGUGAAGAGAGUGACUAUUCAAACUCUGUUUUGAUUUGUAAACAAACUAUAUGCCUUAUCUUUGUCUUGGAUUAGAGUAUAACAUUUGGUGAUUGAAUUUGUAAGAUUUAGCAAUUUUUUUCACAAGCUUGCUUUUCUUGCCAGAUGCUCAAGUAUUGUGUCUUCUACUUUUCUGUUUUCCUUUUUCUGUGUUUUCCCGCAUGGAGUGGGCUGACUGAUUACUUGAAACUGUGAGUAAUAUUGAUAACACUGUACGAUCUGCAAAUGAAUGUUUCUUAUAGCAUACAUAUCCAUGCAUAGCAAGCAAUGUAUCAAUCCAUUGGUUCUUAUGUACUGUACCGUCAUUUUAGUUACUUUGUGUAGAAACUAUCCAUGCAUGUUCCGACUAAUACAUUCAAUCCCCACAGCGAAGCACGAGCACAUUUUACUAUUUUUCCUAUGUUACUGAUACAUGAUUAUUGGCUUAUAUUGCACUUCAAUUAUCUAAUACCUGUAAUACUAGAAAUUAGACUGACCAUGAAGCUAUAGUUGACCCACGUUAAUCUACUUUCUGCGUGGAGUUUCAUGCUUCCAAACUAAUGCAGGUAUUUCGUCUUCAAUGUUAUAGAGCCAGAGGGGUUGUAAUGAUUCAUUUCAGUAUACAACCAGUGCAUAUUUUCCAACAUAUUCUCUAUAACCUAUUCUAUUUCUUUCUCUAAUAUACGUGUUAUUGCCCCCAUUUUUUAUUGAAGUGAUCAAGAGGUGAGUGAUUUUAUUCAAAUACAAUGAUUUCAUGUCUUUUAUUCAUUUUUGUGUAUUGAUUAGCAUUUGUUUUCUAUAAUUUGGAGUGAACCAUGAGUUACUUUACAGUGGUCUGUCUCAUUGAGUUGCAGUUUCUUCCUUAUGCACACGAGGUAAUUCCACGAGGUUAUUCUGAGCAGAGAGUACUCAAGGAGGGCAUGUUUGAGGACCGACCUUGGCCAACAAGCAGCUUCAGUUUGUUUUGAGAUUUUUAAUGGUGUGCUUGCUCUUGAAUCGGCUAGAGAUGGUCCAGCAGCUGCUCAAUCAGCUCAGAGUCUUGGUUGAUGAGUACAAGAGGACCUUCCAGCCAUGGGUAAUGAAAAGGGAAACAGUUAUUGGGAAAAAGAAUUGCCACCAAAUUUUGACAGAAGUGGGACUGAGAAAUUUAUUCGUGCCAAAUAUGAGGGAAAACUGUGGGUUGCAAAGAAUGCAAAGCAACCAGUUCCUCUCUUAAUUCUGAUUUGUGAAGGCCCGUGCUUUUCCUCAAACCGACGUUGUCUUACUUGAUGAACGGCGGCACGAUCGAAGUCCCUCACCCUCUGUUAUCUUUGGACCAUGAGGUGGCGGUGAUCAUCUCUCAGAAAGCUCACGAUGUUCCGCAAUCCACCGCCAUGGAUUACAUUGCGGGUAAAUUUGUAAUUUUUGUUACUGUUUUUUGUUAAUUAAUCACUUUUUAUUUUAUUUUAUUUUUUGAAGGUCAGUUAAUUAAUCAGUUAAUAGUGUUGCUGUUAAUGAUUUAGUUUAAUUAAUCAGUUAAUAAUGCUGCUGCUAAUGAUUUAUUUUAAUAUAAUGAUGCUGUUAAUGAUUUGGUUUUAAGUUUAAAUCUGAUUAGCAAAAAUCAGAUGGUGUAAGGUUAUGCACUUGCUUUGGAUAUAACUGCCAGAGAAAUUCAAGCAUCUGCUAAGAUAAAAUCUACAGAGAUUAGAAAGAGAAAAAGGGCAAAGGAAAGCUAUGGUGACUCUCAAAAGAUGGUUCAAGUCUCUGUUGGAGGGGAGAAUCAGACCAUUGAUUGGGCUAUACGACUAACAGUCGCUCUGAACAUUGAAAAAGCAUUAGAUCACUGCAGCAGCGAAUGCCGCCCAUUGUACCAUGACUUAAAUGCAUAUAUGGUUCUCUUUGAUAAGAGUUGGCUUCAUUUCAGUCCAGUAACUCUCUAAAUAGGUCCAAUAACUCAGUAAAGAGGCUUCCUAUGGCUAACUUAACUUAAGUUAUUCAUUUUUUAAAGAUGUAAGCUAUUUUGGAAUAGUUUGAAAGUUAAUGCAUGAUUCGAGGAUGACUUUUAGCAUAUCCCACUUAUCUUUUACGCUCUCGCUUCAUUCAUGUGCUGAGUCAUGGUUUAACUGUCUAAAUUCAAGAACUAAAAAUGGUCAGCAGGCUAAAAAGUGAUUAGAUUUUGAGAUGCAUAUUUUGGUUUCUCAUUAUUUCUUUGCUUUUUAUUUUUCAUUUAUUAAUGUUCUUUUGGCAGCUUAUUUGAUUGGAUUUGUGGUUUUCCGGGGACGAACAAAUCCUCUCCUUAAACGUCGAUUCUCAGAAGAAUGACAUUUUUUAUGACCUCUGGGAGAGAAUGAUUAGUUGGAGGUUUAAGCUUUGGAUAAGAUACAAAUUGAAACAUUAAUUUUUGUUUAUGUGUUUAUCUCUAUACAUAUUAUUAUACAUGUGUAAUCAUUUGCUGCUCUACUUAUUCAUCAUAUUUUUUAUUUGGGUUUCUCAAGUUCCGGGACGAGUUCACCGCAGCCAAAAUUGAUGCCUUACUUCGAUUCCAAACUCUCCAAAGCUAACUUCUUUAUAGAUCAUCAGAGCAGUGUUGAAAUUCUGAGAAUGUAUAUUUAGAAACAAUAAUUGCGUUUUACCAAGAACUUUGCUCUUUUUUUUUCUUAAUUUUUGAAAUUUAGGUUUUUGAGUAAUGGGUUAGGAAUUAAUUCUUAAUCAAUAAUAGGUAUUGAAGUUGAGUUGCAAGUAGUGUUGAAAGUAUUAGAUGAUCUUAGUUGCGUGAGAUUAUUGUUUUUCUAAUCCACCAAAUUCAUUUCAAAUAUAGUGGCGAUUCUUGAUGUACUCAAUAUCUUUAAUGGUGGAUGAAACUGUUUUUAGGUGUUACAAUUAAUUAUAGAAGUUUCUAUGUUGCAUUCACUUUAUUUCACUUUGAAUCGUUGUCAAGGGACUGCUUUUGGGAACUUGGUGGUGCAUGAGGAAGUUCUUCGGGUUAUUCAAAUGUUCGGAGGUUAACUUUCCGUUUGGAGAUUCUAGAAAAUAAGUUGUAGUCAUGAAUUUUCAGCAAGAGAAGUUCGUCAGUGGAGCUUCUCACUAGCCUCGGCAUCGUUCCUUUCUGAAACAAGGUCCUUUUACCUAGUGCCAUCAUUCAAAUUCGCUGUACUUCACCCAAAAGGUUGAUCAUCAUACAUCAUUCGUGAGAAGUGGGAUGGACGAAAUUUGGUGUUGUAAGAUAUCAUGAACAAAUUGUUGCUGGUUGGGUUUUGUGUUGGUGCGAAUUUACUUGAGAUCCUCACUUAAUUGGUAUUCUUCUUGUUCAAGAUGCUGCCGAGGCAGCAACAGUGGACUCUGUGUUAUCUCAAGGAAUGAGAAGUGAUUUUGGUGAAAGAAGCUCUAGAGUUCAAGUUUGUACUUCUGAUUUUCACAGGCUAGAUGGAUGGAGAAAAUCAGCAGGAACUUAUUCACUAUCAUACAAGUUGGUUCCCGCCGCAACGCGCGGGCUUAUUAUCUCAGUAUAUACUAAAACUCAGUUUUGUGGGCACUGUGGAUGACUAGUGGGCGGAUGUUUUUGCCCCUUGGUUUCUCCUCGCUCGCUUUGUCGCCUGCUUCGUACAGUGGAAAGAUGGUUUUGCCCAUUCUUUCCAUGCGUCCAUCAUCGUUGAUAUCUCGGCAUCGAGUUCAAGAGUCUUCUUCUGCGUUUAACCCUUUGUUUCUUCUGGUCCUUCUCUGAUUCCUGCCUUAUUCUAGCUGUGUUCUUCUGCGAUUGUUUGUUCUUCUCCUUUUGAGCGCCGGCUGUGUUUAGAUCGUUGAGCGCCUGCUGUCUUUAGAUCGUUGGGAAAUAAAUUUUAUACAACUGAGUUGUGGUCUUCAAGAGCAGUGCUCCGUUUGGUGUCGUUUUGAACAUCACAAGAGCCGCCUCCAUCCCCGCCGCUUCCAACGCCUCCUCUCCUUCUGUGGCCGACUGUGGAUUAUCUUCCACUUCUGCUGGUGCCCCUUCUGGUGUUUAAUAUUUCCUGCUACAUCAAUUCGAAGAAUUGGCUAAGAAUAAAAAAAUUAGUGAUAGCAGUGACACGGGAGAUAAGAAAAGAAGCAAAUUGGAAGCACUCCGUUUGUUGUAUCCUCUGUUGCUGGAGGCUCUGGCAGGUUUCAUUUGGCUGUUUGUUUUGCACGUUUCAUUUUUGUAAAGUAAAGGACAUAUGCAACACCUUCCACGAUUUUAGAACACUUGAAGGUGAGACUUAAGAAAUAAAAUAGCGGUUUGAAAAGUUGUGAUGGCAUGUUAAUUCCCUUUUUUGUGAACUGAUUUUAAAGCAUAUUUACCUAUUUAUUUUUUCAUAUUUUGUUUACAUUUGAUUUAUGAUAGACUACGCACA